rnacentral:piRNA from 1 species
CACAAGCUGCGCAGCGUGAGGUGU